UAGCUAGUUGGUGAGGUAAAGGCUUACCAAGGCGACGAUCUGUAGCGGGUCUGAGAGGAUGAUCCGCCACACUGGAACUGAGACACGGUCCAGACUCCUACGGGAGGCAGCAGUGGGGAAUUUUGGACAAUGGGGGCAACCCUGAUCCAGCCAUGCCGCGUGAGUGAAGAAGGCCUUCGGGUUGUAAAGCUCUUUCGGCCGGGAAGAAAUCGCAUGGGCCAAUACCCUGUGUGGAUGACGGUACCGGAAUAAGAAGCACCGGCUAACUACGUGCCAGCAGCCGCGGUAAUACGUAGGGUGCGAGCGUUAAUCGGAAUUACUGGGCGUAAAGCGUGCGCAGGCGGUUUUGUAAGACAGGCGUGAAAUCCCCGGGCUUAACCUGGGAACUGCGUUUGUGACUGCAAGGCUAGAGUACGGCAGAGGGGGGUGGAAUUCCACGUGUAGCAGUGAAAUGCGUAGAGAUGUGGAGGAACACCAAUGGCGAAGGCAGCCCCCUGGGUCGAUACUGACGCUCAUGCACGAAAGCGUGGGUAGCAAACAGGAUUAGAUACCCUGGUAGUCCACGCCCUAAACUAUGUCAACUAGGUGUUGGGUGGGUAAAUCCAUUUAGUACCGUAGCUAACGCGUGAAGUUGACCGCCUGGGGAGUACGGCCGCAAGGUUAAAACUCAAAGGAAUUGACGGGGACCCGCACAAGCGGUGGAUGAUGUGGAUUAAUUCGAUGCAACGCGAAAAACCUUACCUACCCUUGACAUGCCAGGAACUUGCCAGAGAUGGCUUGGUGCCCGAAAGGGAGCCUGGACACAGGUGCUGCAUGGCUGUCGUCUGCUCGUGUCGUGAGAUGUUGGGUUAAGUCCCGCAACGAGCGCAACCCUUGUCGUUAAUUGCCAUCAUUUAGUUGGGCACUUUAACGAGACUGCCGGUGGCAAACCGGAGGAAGGUGGGGAUGACGUCAAGUCCUCAUGGCCCUUAUGGGUAGGGCUUCACACGUCAUACAAUGGUCGGUACAAAGGGUUGCCAAGCCGCGAGGCGGAGCCAAUCCCAGAAAGCCGAUCGUAGUCCGGAUUGCAGGCUGCAACUCGCCUGCAUGAAGUCGGAAUCGCUAGUAAUCGUGGAUCAGCAUGUCACGGUGAAUACGUUCCCGGGUCUUGUACACACCGCCCGUCACACCAUGGGAGCGGGUUCCGCCAGAAGUAGGUAGCCUAACCGCAAGGGGGGCGCUUACCACGGCGGGGUUCGUGACUGGGGUGAAGUCGUAACAAGGUAGCCGUAGGGGAACCUGCGGCUA
rnacentral:rRNA from 1 species